UAAAGGUGAUGUACACCAUGGAAUGUCUCAUGAUGGCAAAUUUCCUGUCUUAGACCCACAUAAAGAAAAAAAGGUCAUUCAUCAAUUUCUGUGUGUUUAAAUCGUCCUGCCAGCUGCACUGCAGAGCCACGGCCAGCACCAGUUUUGGUAGGUAGUUGGACGAUGACAUAGUAAGUUUCCUGCGAACUGGAACUGCUUCCCAAGAGGAAGUAUGAGGAAGAACCUGGAUGUGGUUCUUAGCUUCAUCAGGAAAGCAGAAUCUGAUUGCAUGUACAACCCUGAAGCAUCCAUCCCAUGUGGGGAAAACUGUUGUUUUCCUAAUCACAGGCUGCACACAUGUUGGGAUGCCAUGACCUGGCAAUAAGUCCACGGUUUCCUGGAUGUGCCAACCCAACCACAUCACCAAGGACAAUCUGCACCUACACGGAAGGGAGAGAAAAGGAAAAUGUCUGCUGAUGAAAAGCCAGUGAAGUUAAUGACACUAACAGUUACUUUUACUGUCAUCAAGAUGCUCAUCUUAGAAGCCCCCAGGUGUGCUGAGCAGUCAGGAGUGCUCAUUUACACACAGAUGAACAUGCAAACAAUACUAAAGAUCAGAGAUAGCCACACUGCAAGUUGUAAUGGAAGAGUUCAAGAGUCAAGCAAGAGUUAAAGAGGCUAUCCAGAAGUUGCCAACAGCAGAAAACUCCAUCCAUCCAUUUGACUGGAGUGGUACUGGAAGCAGAUGGUGUUACCAGUAACCGAACAACUGGACUGACCAGGAAGUUCCUGCCAUUGCCUGAAUCCACCCAGAUACAAAGGCAUCAAGACUUCUGGGAAAAGUCGUCUGUGAAAAGUAGUCAUGGAAGGGCAGAAUGGAAAAUGACUCACACACGGAGUAAGGUUGGUGAGCACCUCGUGAGACUGCUGAGCAAGCUUCACCAGCUGAUUACUAUCUACAGCAAAUCAUGGAGACGUGUGUUCACUAUCAAGAGUCCUUUGGAUGCAUCUGGAUUUCUUUUCCACAGUUUCCACAGGCUAGAAGUCAAAGAUCAGGUGCCAUUAUAGUUGGGGAGGGGCCCUCAUCUGAGUUGCAGACAUCUUGUAGCCUUGCAAUGCAAAAGGGACAUGGAAGCUCUCUUGUACUUCUUUUGUCAAGUCCUUAAUCUCAAUUAUGAGGACUCCAUUCUCGUGAUCUAAUCAUGAUCUAAUCACUACCCAUAGACUCCCUACCUCCUAAUACCAUCACAUUGGCUUUAGGAUUUCAACAAAUGAAUUUGGAGGGGACAUAAACUUUCAGAUGACAGCAACUAAUGAUUGCAGAAAAUAAUUAAAGCUUGUCCAGAGCCUUGAAAAUGUGCUUGAAGAGGGAGACGUAGUAUUAUGCAACAUCAUUUCAACACAUACAACUACAGAACAUUAUCCCGCAAAGGACUAACAUCCUCAGAGGGGUACCCUCAGGAGACAUCACUUUAAAUGUCUCCACAUCUGUAACAUCAUUUUAUUUCAUUCUUGCAAUGUUCCUGUGAGGUAUA